ACAAUAUCUAAUACCAUACCCGACUUGGAAUUGUACGGUAACCGGACGAGAGGCCGUGAUUCGCCAUAUGGAUAAGCCGUCUUAUCGGCUUUCCUCUCCCCCUGGAUAAAUAUGUAAAUGCUAAUCCGAAGUAAAUCUUUGAACUUGGUUCCUCUACUUUGUGACUAAUCGGGAGAACGGUAUAAAUUUGUAAUGCUGAAUUUGGUCUAAAUUUCUAGACUUUAACAGCAUUCCCGAUGGAACAAAAUGUCUAGUCCAGUCUGCAGUGAGUACACGAAGAUCGUUCAAGAGGGAUGUUGGAAAAAUGCAAUGGCAUGGUUUCAACAAGAUGAAGCAAUCGUACAUUGGAAAUACCUUAGAGAGAAAUGGAAGACCUAAAAAUACGCUUACAACAUCUAUUGCAGCUGUAUUGGACCAUCUCAAAGACGUUGUUUUUAAAAAAGCGGUUCACACAAAAUUGCAAUUGAAUGUCUUGUUAAUUAAUUACGUAUGUAAUAAACAUUUAACAAAAGCUACACUCUCUAUUUU